CACGCUGCAUGUAGGAAUGCUUUCGCAUUCCUACUCGCGGCCGUUUUCUCCACGACCGGCGGCCAGCACGGGCCACAGCACGGGUGAAGCGGCGAAGCAGGAGAAAGGGAACAAGGGGUGCAGAGUCAAAAGGAGCCACCAAGUCGAUUAAGCCGCCAAGAGGCCAGGUAAAGACAAGCCAAAAUCAAGCAUGGCGGCACAUGAGCACGAGGGUGCGAGUUAUGGCUACAAUUAGGAAAUUGCAGAAGUGAUCACCAGUGGAACCAUGCGGCAUGCAUGGUCAACAAGACUGUGGUUUAUCUCCCGAGACAUUUAGUCCGAACAUGCCGUGGUCUGUGGUCUGUUUUUGGAAACUGAAAUCCUGAAAGUGGUUAGGCCUAGGAGCAGUUGAGUCGUUUUGUGCCUUUUUGUCGGUGAAAAUAAUACCGACGUGCUGUUGUUACUUGUUGGCGCGCUCGGCUAGCUUGGCAAACGACGGUCAUUCUAAAUUCCUUAGUGUUGAGCGAAUAUUCAAAUGGUAGUUUCGAAUAACGCGCUAUUCAAUAUUUCCUUCAAGGUGAAUUGCAAUAUCCAUACUUUUCAAAGUGUUUAUCGCGGCACGUUAGCCCCACUGAGUGCGCUUCUUGCUCUGCGGGAAAGCAAUACCCGCCGAGCUCACUUGCUCCACAAGUAUUGUUUGUCCGCAGUGCACAGGUGCUCGUGGAAACAAUAACAGCCAUGCAAUUUGCAAGAAAACAAAGAGAGUGGACAGAGGGGCAAAGGCUCACUCUGCAGGCUGCUCAGUUCCUCCUGGUUGAGCUUGCGGCGUUGCUCCUCUUCUGAGAGCUGCAGCCGCUGCACCCCAAGCUGCUCACGCAACUCUCGCAACGACAGCUCAGACUGAGACAACUCCUCUGCACCAGCAAAUACAACGAGCCACCGGAAGAAAAUAAAAAGUGUCAAAAUGAUGUAGUGCUUAGAACUCCAUAAAAGAAGUUAUGAAAGACUCUGUGAGCAAGAAAAGACACUCUACUUAACAAGUCAAGAGGAGCAUGAGAGCUAAACAAAUAACUAUGUUUCAAGAGGAGCAUGAGAGCUAAAGAAAACACUAUGUUAACUUCAAAAACGGUAGUAGUAUACUGAUUUCAAAACCUCUAGCUGCUGUCAAAGAAAUGUGCCUGCAUCUGUUUCCUUACCACUCCAAUCCUUCAACAAAUAGUGUGUGCAAAUAUCUGAAAAUCAUUGAAAUACCUCGGCUGCAUUUACAUCAGAAGAUAAUGUCGUGCACUAUUGAAUACAUUACUAGUGGUUGAGGCAACUGUCAUUUUCUGCUUUCCCCAACUACAGUUCCAUAGCACCCCACGAAGUGACAAUUGAAAAUAAACAAUCAAAAUAAUGCAUCCUCA